GGGAAUACAUUGAACCAAGGAACUGCAAGGGGUUCAGCAAUUGGUUUCAAGUAAUUGGGUUCAAGCUGGACAGUCUUUUAAAACUUACUGACACACGUGCUUCUAAUAGCAAGAUGACACUUAUGCAUUACCUUUGCAAGGUACUUGCAGCCAAGUCACCAGCACUUCUUGAUUUUCACCUGGACCUUGUUAGCCUUGAAGCUGCAUCAAAGAUACAAUUGAAGUCUUUAGCAGAAGAAAUGCAAGCUAUAAUUAAAGGGCUAGAAAAAGUAAAACAGGAGCUGGCGGCAUCAGAGUAUGAUGGUCCUGUAUCCGAAGUUUUCUGUAAGACAUUGAAAGAAUUCAUUUCUGUUGCUGAGACAGAGGUGGCAUCUGUGACAAAUCUAUAUUCUGUUGUGGGUAGAAAUGCAGAUGCACUUGCACUAUAUUUUGGCGAGGAUCCAGCUCGUUGCCCAUUUGAACAAGUUACAGCAACUCUACUAAAUUUUGUGAGGUUGUUCCGGAAAGCACAUGAAGAAAAUUUGAAACAGGCUGAAUUGGAAAAGAAGAAAGCUGAGAAGGAGGCUGAAAUGGAGAAAGCAAAGGGAUUACAUCUUACAAAAAGGAGUGUGAAAUAGCUCAGAAUUGAUAUGUUGCUUCAUCUACAUGGCAGUUUGAGCUCCCCACCACACAGCAGUCUUGUGCCGCAUUUUUUUAGUCAGCGUUGGCAAAAGAUGCUGCUGAGGACCUCAGCUCCAACAUUCUCCUUUAUAGCGUGGAGUAAGCCUCACAAGUUGAUGUGGGCAAAGGUAAAAAGACUAUUCCUUGAGGCUUGUGGAGCUCAAAGGAUUGAAAAGGCUCAUUCAAUCAGAUGAUGAUCCAUGACUGAUGAGUUGGAACACGUUAGAUAUUUACACGGAUCAUAUUUUUGCCAAAUAGAAUGGUUAAAUAUGUUGGCGUAGCAAAUGUUCACUGCACGAUUUAUUUAGAUGAUGGAUAUGGCCUCUGUGGUAUUGUGUUGAGAAGAAAUUUUGUAGUCUUGGUCAAUCCUUCACUACGACAGCUGACAGGUGAUUUGGUUUCUGGUUUUAGUCAUUUGAUUUGGCAGAAUUUCUUCAACACCAGAAGAGAGCAGAUGUCAGUAAAUGUAAAGCACAAAGCUUCUCUGUACCAUGAGACCAUGUACAAAGCUCUAACCCCUCCCUAACGUUAGAUUCAAUUCUUUUAUUGUAACAUAUAGGGCUGUUAUUAUAAAAG
rnacentral:misc_RNA from 1 species